GAAAUGCUUAUCAACCACUAUUUACCAUUUAUGUUAUCACCUUUAACAUUGAUUAAUUUAU
rnacentral:snoRNA from 1 species